GCACGUGACGUUGAUUGACCUUUUUUUUUUUACGCUUCUAUUUAGUGUGCUUUAUUUCCCCGAUUUCUGAAGUAGAUGUUGAAUGUGGAGGUGACAUAUAUCCAUUCUAGAAUGAAAGCUUCGCUAGCAUAGCGGUUUCUGUCGGUUUUGUUCACUGCUGUUUCCAAAAUACCUGGAACAAUUUCUGGGCCUUUACAGAAGUAAUUAGUGUUAAAUGAAGUCAUAAGGGUGGAGCCCUGAUCCAGACUGUUGUCCUUAUGAAAGACGUUAGUGAUGGCACAAGAAGUGAAGGUCAUGUGCCUGAAGGCACAGCAGUCUGCAAUUCAAGAAGAGAAGCCUCAAGAGAAACCAACAACCCUGCUAACACCUUGUUCUUGGACUUUCAGUCUCUAAAACCAUGAACAAAUAAAUUUUUGCUUUUUAAUA